GUGAGCUGGGAAGAGGAAGAGAGGGCCUAAGAGCAGUGGGAAUGGGAAAAUUGAGAAAACACUAGUUUCCUCCUUGAGAAACAGAGGUGGAAGCUUUGUCCGGUGUUUCCCAAUGACUCCCAUUCCUGCCGUUCUUAAGCGCUCCAUCCUUUUCAUUUUGGCU
rnacentral:pre_miRNA from 1 species